GGAGGGGUGCUUGGAGAGGUUGAUCAGCCAGGUCUCGAAAACCUUGGGAGUCGCAAGACUCACGCGAGUUCGAAUCUCGCCCCCUCCG
rnacentral:tRNA from 1 species